rnacentral:rRNA from 1 species
UACGGAAGGCAGCAGUGGGGAAUAUUGCACAAUGGGCGCAAGCCUGAUGCAGCCAUGCCGCGUGUAUGAAGAAGGCCUUCGGGUUGUAAAGUACUUUCAGUCGUGAGGAAGGUGUUAAGGUUAAUAACCUUAGCAAUUGACGUUAGCGACAGAAGAAGCACCGGCUAACUCCGUGCCAGCAGCCGCGGUAAUACGGAGGGUGCGAGCGUUAAUCGGAAUUACUGGGCUAAAGGGCACGCAGGCGGUUAAUUAAGUUGGAUGUGAAUCCCCGGGCUUAACCUGGGAAUGGCAUUCAAGACUGGUUAGCUAGAGUCUUGUAGAGGGGGUAGAAUUCCAUGUGUAGCGGUGAAAUGCGUAGAGAUGUGGAGGAAUACCGGUGGCGAAGGCGGCCCCUGGGACAAAGGACUGACGCUCAUGUGCGAAAGCGUGGGGAGCGAAACAGGAUUAGAUACC